UCUGCUGAGGCCAAGCGAGAAAUCAUUUUAGUCCGGAGACUUUUCCAGCUGUUGUUGAACUGUUGUCAAGAAAAACAUGACUGUCUCAUUAACAUUAUCUUGGCUGUAUUUAGCGUGCAAGCCGUGAAACGGAGCCAAUUCUGGCUGGUCCGGGUCGGGAUAAAGUCGAGUUAACGAGCGGGGCAGGAAAGGCACCAGAAGGGUUCUGCGAUGAAGGGCUUUGCGUGCAACGAAGGCUCGAGAAACAUAUGAAGACCAGCUGAAGCAAACCUCAAAUAACCUCAAACAGCAUGCCUACUUAUGAUGGGAAAAACAGCGACAGCAAAAGUCUGUCGCCACUGAUAAAAGUCUGCCAGACAAACAGCAACACCAUCCUAGAGGUCAAAGCCACACAAAGCACAGCAGCGUCAGAGUCAUAAAAGACUCUUUCCAUCAAACUGAGUCUCAGCAACAGCCAACCCAUCAAUCACCCACUACAAAGAAAACACAGAGAACCAAAUUCCUGGAAGGGAGCAGACGACAGAAAAGCACUUCAUUUUAAGGUGAAAGUCAGAGCUGGGCUGUCAGGAUACGGAAGAAUUAAUGCAACUGUCCUGCAACUACAAAGGAAGAAAUCGGUCUACGAGUGAUCUCAGUCUACGUACAUCUGCAGACAGGAACACUAAAAAUUCCUUCGAUUAUUUUUCUGUCUGGGAGUGGCUAUCAUUCCUUCGUGUUUGUAGUGGCACACCUUCUACCAAACAGAAGAUCUUCUGUUACGGUACAGUGCACAAAUUAUUUUUGGAAGGAAUUUAACGGACAAUUUGCUGUAGAGCAUCGAGGUUGGACGAGUACGACAUUUGUUAAACAGCGAAAAAUAUCCAAAUAAAAUGUGACU